rnacentral:rRNA from 1 species
UACGUAGGGGGCAAGCGUUGUCCGGAUUUAUUGGGCGUAAAGAGCGUGUAGGCGGCCAGGUAGGUCAGCUGUGAAAACUCGAGGCUCAACCUCGAGACGCCGGUUGAAACCAUCUGGCUAGAGUCCGGAAGAGGAGAGUGGAAUUCCUGGUGUAGCGGUGAAAUGCGCAGAUAUCAGGAAGAACACCCGUGGCUAAGGCGGUUCUCUGGGACGGUACUGACGCUGGAGAACGGCGAAAGCGUGGGGGAGCGAACAGG